GUAGUCAACCUCAUGACCACCACAGAAGCGCCGCCGCCACCCUUCCACCGCCCACAGCUUGCUCCACCGACUCCAGCAAGGGACGCCGACGAGCCUCCACCCCGGAACCACCCCAGCAUCCCAUUUUUGAACUCUGGCGAGUUUGCUAAUGGCACUGUCGCCCCCGCCCUGCCCUCCUUUCUCGUCUCCGGCGGCGUCCCGCCGCCGGAUCCGACCCCGCUGCCACUCCCGCGCUAACUCGUCGCCGGUGCUAGCCCCCGCCGCCUCCGCAGACCAUCCGGUUGUCCACCAACCGCCCGCGGCCGGCGGCGCCCCCGCCGCCUUGCCGCACCGCCGGCUUGAACCACCACCACCGCCCGCUACCUUGCCGCCCAAAGCUCCUUCUAGGUCCGCCGGAGGCAGGUAGGCUUCCUCCGGUCCUCCCCAAACCCCGAACGAUAAUAAGUCACUGAAGCUCGCCGGAGUCGAGGAAGACACGCUUGUUGUCGUUGGCAAAAAAAUUCGAGUGCGUGGAGACAAUAUUUCUUUUUUUCUUGACACCUCUCAUCUGGGUACAGCUGUAGCAUCUGUUCAUACACGCACACACGUACCCCCUACCCUACACACGCACACUACACGUGUACAAUCAGACCUACAACUACACACAGAUAUGAAGAUCGCGUCCUUCUAAAGAUCACAGGAAACCUCCAAGGCUCCGUGUGCGACGGGCGCAGUCCCUUGUGGCACUAAGCGUGAGAGGCAACGGAGAUUAUUAAAGAUACUGAGAACAGUACCUGGUGAGGCACGCGAGUUGCGAUUGUCAGGAAGAACCCGCGCCCGGCCGCUCGCGCACCUGCGAGCGAACCAACUGAGCUAUCGCUCGUCCUCGUGGAGACAAUAUUUCACUCGAGUGUAAUAUAGAUUUCCCGUAGUUUAGUAUAAUAGUUAGACAACCCUAAUCCCCAAUUCCAAUCUCCCCCAUCUCAAUCUCUGCUGCUGCUUCCCGCCGCCUCCCGCUUCCUAUCCGUGAUGCCUGAGCCCACCGCGGCCGCCACCUCCCGCCGAUCCGCGAUGCCUGAACCAACCGCAGCCGCCACCUCCCGCCGAUCCGCGAUGCCUGAACCAACCGCAGCCGCCACCUCCCGCCGAUCCGCCAUGCCCGAGCCCAGAGCUGCCUCCUCUCCAUGCCACUGAUCAUCCUGCUUGGGUCCUCUUCGACACGCUACCGCACAUCGGGCGCUGCGACAAUGCCGCCGCCGCCGCUCGAGCCCUUACGAGCGCCGGCGACCUAAUCGAGGUGUCUCUGACGCUCUCCGAACCGCCUGCCCUCUCCCAGUGUUUCGUCCACUGCCCCGGCCUGGCGGACGACGUCUUCAUCGGACAGCCCCGGGUCACGGGUGCGGAGGGCGCUCUCCUCCUUAUGCGCGUGAUCUUCGCCGAUCGCAACGGCCAAGGGAAGUUGACCGACGUCUUUGUCUACAGGGCCGGCCCUGGGGAGCCAUUGCUUCAACUCCUCCCGCGCCCCUACCCAGAUGGCAUCUACUAUAGGUGUAUCGGCAUCUUGCCCUGUGGCGACGCCAGGAGCAGGCACUAUCUCGUCGUCAUCCCCGAAAUGCGAUUUCAGGCUCGUCGGUGGGAGGGAUAUCAUCUCCGCGUCUAUUCAUCAGAGACCGAGUCCUGGAGCACCAAGGUAGCCCAGGUGGCUGAUGACAUGGAGACAGACUACUGUAAUUUGGCCUCUCAUGAACCGACCAAGGUGGUUUCCUUUGGAAGAGGCUUGUUGGGCUGGAUCGAUCUUCGAUUUGGUAUUCUGCUAUGCAAUGUGGUUGAAAAGGAUCCUGAGGUUCGUUUAAUCCAGUUGCCUGAAUUGCUGCCCACCAACAGGGCGGACUUCGGUGUGGAUUUAGAUGGUGACAUGCCGUCUCUGCGUCAAAUUCGGGAUGUUACCUACAAAAAUGGUCGUAUCAGGAUGAUCGAGGUUGAAUUUCCGGAUCUGGAUGACAUCAAUAUGGACUUUAGGUGGAGGGCCACAGUAUUUGAGACGAUGGCUUAAGCAAAUAACUGGUACAAGGAUUGCACUGUUGACUCUUCAAUUAUCUUCCUUGGUGACUCAUAUAACGAUUACACGUUUUGUGAAAUGCUUGGCUGCAAUGACAAGCAGCUAACUCUGAACACGGUGGUGAGUUUAGCCCCUACUUUGGACAUGUGCAACGACAAUGUUUUCUACAUGAUGUCCAAGCGGAAUGCUAAGGACCCAAAUGCCUGGGUGCUUGCUAUCAACACCAGAGACAGCACACUGGAGAAAGUUGUACCAUUUUCUGAUGAAAGGAUGUUCUAUUUUGAUCCCUCCUACCAGCAAUGUGCCUUCUCCAAGUUUCUUGGAAAGGCUGCAGAUUGAUUACAAAUUAGAGGGAAGAACAGGGCAAGUUACAUGGUAGUAGGGGUGUUGCCAUUAGCGCAAAUGCAACCUAAUAUGCAACUUCAGGCAUGUAAACCCUUUUAAGUAUUAAGUUUGAGAACAAUUGUGAAGUGGACAUUUUCUCCAAGAUGGCAGAAGGUCACAAUAGCAAUUGGAGCUUUAGGUACUUCAGACAUUAGUUGUCUCUCCCUUCAACACCAUCGUCCAUUGACAAGAUCUUCUCUCCUAACAUUGCAUGGAAGUCGUAAGGCACUUUUAGUUCUCCGGAAGUCAUUCCGACUUCUCAAUUUGGUCUGAAUUAUUUGAUAAAUUUAUUCCAUAUCCAGGUAGAUAGCACUGCAAUGUAUUUGGAACUCAAUGGCAGCACUGCUGAUUUUACACUAUAUAUUUAUCCAUAGUGGAUGACAUAAAAUUAACCUAGCUUUAUCUGUUUUGGGGAAUUGUGUUUAAGGUAAUUUUUAUGAUGUUUACAAUAAUAAACUGUGUGUAGGAUAGUUGAAUUCUGAUAUAUUGAGAUAACUGAACUACCAUUGAGCUUA